rnacentral:rRNA from 1 species
CCUACGGGUGGCAGCAGUGGGGAAUAUUGGACAAUGGGGGCAACCCUGAUCCAGCCAUGCCGCGUGUGUGAAGAAGGCCCUCGGGUUGUAAAGCACUUUCAGUGAGGAAGAACGCCUGGUGGUUAAUACCCAUCAGGAAAGACAUCACUCACAGAAGAAGCACCGGCUAACUCCGUGCCAGCAGCCGCGGUAAUACGGAGGGUGCGAGCGUUAAUCGGAAUUACUGGGCGUAAAGCGCGCGUAGGUGGCUUGAUAAGCCGGUUGUGAAAGCCCCGGGCUCAACCUGGGAACGGCAUCCGGAACUGUCAAGCUAGAGUGCAGGAGAGGAAGGUAGAAUUCCCGGUGAAGCGGUGAAAUGCGUAGAAAUCGGGAGCAAGACCAGUGGCGAAGGCGGCCUUCUGGACUGACACUGACGCUGAGGUGCGAAAGCGUGGGUAGCAAACCGGAUUAGAUACCCCAGUAGUC